rnacentral:snRNA from 1 species
UUCAGAAAUUUUUCUCCUCUUU